CAGUAGCCGCGGUAAUACGGAGGGAGCUAGCGUUGUUCGGUAUUACUGGGCGUAAAGCGCGCGUAGGCGGUUACUCAAGUCAGAGGUGAAAGCCCGGGGCUCAACCCCGGAACUGCCUUUGAAACUAGGUGACUAGAAUCUUGGAGAGGUCAGUGGAAUUCCGAGUGUAGAGGUGAAAUUCGUAGAUAUUCGGAAGAACACCAGUGGCGAAGGCGACUGACUGGACAAGUAUUGACGCUGAGGUGCGAAAGCGUGGGGAGCAAACAGGAUUAGAUACCCGUGUAGUCCCUGUCUCUUAUAC
rnacentral:rRNA from 1 species